CGCCAUGACCAAGCAAGUUACUUUCGGAGACCUCACCA
rnacentral:tRNA from 1 species